rnacentral:rRNA from 1 species
GGAUGUAGAGGAAAGUGGGCGGACCGGGUGAGUAACGGCGUGAGGAACUUUUCUUGAAGAGGGGGACAACAGUUGGAAACGACUUGCUAAUACCGCAUGACGCAUAGAGGUCGCAUGAUUUUUAUGCCAAAAGAUUUUAUCGCUUCAAGAUGGCCUCGCGUCUGAUUAGCUAGUUGGCGGGGUAACGGCCCACCAAGGCGACGAUCAGUAGCCGGACUGAGAGGUUGAACGGCCACAUUGGGACUGAGAUACGGCCCAGACUCCUACGGGAGGCAGCAGUGGGGAAUAUUGGGCAAUGGGCGCAAGCCUGACCCAGCAACGCCGCGUGAAGGAAGAAGGCUUUCGGGUUGUAAACUUCUUUUAAGAGGGAAGAGCAGAAGACGGUACCUCUAGAAUAAGCCACGGCUAACUACGUGCCAGCAGCCGCGGUAAUACGUAGGUGGCAAGCGUUGUCCGGAUUUACUGGGUGUAAAGGGCGUGCAGCCGGGUCUGCAAGUCAGAUGUGAAAUCCAUGGGCUCAACCCAUGAACUGCAUUUGAAACUGUAGAUCUUGAGUGUCGGAGGGGCAAUCGGAAUUCCUAGUGUAGCGGUGAAAUGCGUAGAUAUUAGGAGGAACACCAGUGGCGAAGGCGGAUUGCUGGACGAUAACUGACGGUGAGGCGCGAAAGUGUGGGGAGCAAACAGGAUUAGAUACCCUGGUAGUCCACACUGUAAACGAUGAAUACUAGGUGUGCGGGGACUGACCCCCUGCGUGCCGCAGUAAACACAAU